UUAGUCUUUCACCAUAUUACUUAACAAUGAAGUGAAAUAUGAUGUGUUUCACCAGUUUACUCACUUUUUCUCCUCCAAUUACAGGCAUUCUUCUCUUUCUCUUUUAGAAUUCUAAAAUGGUUGUUUUAUAUUUCAGAUCAUCUUUCACAGAGAGUACAUUAAAUUUAUUUUAUCUAGCUUUGUAGGGUGAGCUGAUUUGCUCAUCAGAUAAUCAGAUUAACUCAAAAAUUGAACUUUAAUUUAAAUAAUUCUACAGCAAUUAUCUUUCAAUCCCUCCCUCGACCAGCAACUAAGAUGCCUUAUUGAUUAUGGCUUUCAACUUAUCCAUUUCAGGCAGAAGGAAUCAGAUAGCUGACACCUUUACUUUUUUACUUAUGCCUUUUUUACUUUUAAAAGUGAAUGAUCACCUAAGAUGCAUGAGGAAUCUUGAGAACAUUCCAAAAAUUAUUUUGCAAGUCAGAAAUCAGUUCAAACCUUUUUUUAUAAAAAAGCUUUUUUUUUAAUCAGAAUCUGUUAUUGAAUAAAAAGACUCUUUCCAAGAAUUUCACUAGAAAACAAAGUAACUAGAAAUAAAUAAAAGCUAUAUUUUAUUCUUUUACAAAAACAUUUUAAAAUAUAAAUUAAAUAUAUGUAUAUUACAAAGUAAUUUCUAUAGAUCUAAGUAACAAUCUCGGCUGAAGCAAACUAAAUCUUAUAUACCUUUUAAUCCCAAUUUUAGUUAGUUAAUUUCCUGAAAAAACUUGGUUUAUAAGACUUUUUUUUCCUUGCCAUUCACUGGUUGUAUUGUAUAUAUGAGUUAUAUUUAUAUAGUCUUUAUUUGUAUUUCUUUGAUUUGUUUUAUUCAUGUUCUUAUGUGUUAUUAUGUGCUUAUGUGCAGGAGAAAACAGAUAAUGUUGGAAAAGAGACUGACAAUAAAAAGGACUUUUCUUACUCUUUUCAAAACUCUGAAUUGUGUCAGCAUCUUUUAUACAACUGAACAAUACUCACUGAAAGAAAGACAUAUUUACUUAAAGACUGCUUUAGCAACCAAAACCCAAAACACAACCAUAAACAGAAAGCACCAUCUAUGACUCAUUGCUUUGUUUCCAUUAUAAUUAAUGACAAUGUUUUUUCAAAAUCUUUCCUUAUAAAAAAAAUAAAAAAUAAAAAGAUGUUGUAUCGUGCA
rnacentral:lncRNA from 1 species